UAACCUGCCCAAGAGAUCGGGAUAACACCUGGAAACAGAUGCUAAUACCGGAUAACAACAGAUGAUGCCUAUCAACUGUUUAAAAGAUGGUUCUGCUAUCACUCUUGGAUGGACCUACGGUGCAUUAGCUAGUUGGUAGGGUAACGGCCUACCAAGGCGAUGAUGCAUAGCCGAGUUGAGAGACUGAUCGGCCACAUUGGGACUGAGACACGGCCCAAACUCCUACGGGAGGCAGCAGCC
rnacentral:rRNA from 1 species